GCGUUCUCCUCCCCUCUGCUGUCCCCCGCUCCCCCCACCCCCGGUCCCCACCGACUCCCGAGCGCCUGCCCCGCCCGCUGCCACCACCACGGCUUCACGGCUCCGCGCCCGCCUGCCAGGGCAUCCCCACCACGGACGGUUUCUUAAGUCCAGGGGAGGGAGGGGACAGCGGGACCUAGGUAUCGCUCCCCCCUUUUCGUUCCCGCCGGCUCCGUGGCCCCAGCGCCUACUGGCCUACAGGGUGGGCAACGAAUGCGACUCAAAGUUCCAAGUCGACGAAAGUCCAGCGAGCCUACCGCGUGUUGUCGGGAUUUCGGGGAUAACGUGGGGGCCAGGACCCCAAACUAUCUAACUCGCCAGGCUCUUGGAAAGCUGUCUUUCGGUUCUAGGCUUGGGUUCCCACACUGAAUUCUCCCGCUAGUCUAAGUUCCACGAAGCAACAGCUUUAGGCUCCGGGAAGAGCGCAAGAGAACUAACUGUGCGGAGGAAGGACGCGCACAGGUUGGAGACGCCUCCAAACAGCCCCAAGAGCCACUUACGAAAAAAAAAAAAUCCUUAAGGUUGGUUUGUUUUUCCUUUUGGUGGAGGGUGUACUUAUUUAAGUGGAAAAAAAUAAAAGCAAAUAAAAGAUGUUCGAAACCG
ensembl:antisense Gm27239 predicted gene 27239